UAGAGGCCCUUGAACUUUAGUUCUUUUAAGAAUUGGUUUCCGAACUUUCAAUUUUAGUAAUUAUAAAUUUUAAACAUUAUCAAAUAAUUUCUAUAAUAUAAAGCACUUUUUUUCAAUUGAAGCUAUUAAUUACACAAUUAUAACUUUAAAAUAUAAAUAAUUAUUUUUUGCAUCUUAGUAUGUAAAAUAAAAUUCUGUUCAACCAAUUCUUC
rnacentral:lncRNA from 1 species